rnacentral:rRNA from 1 species
GACGAACGCUGGCGGCGUGCUUAACACAUGCAAGUCGAACGGAAAGGCCCUGCUUUUGUGGGGUGCUCGAGUGGCGAACGGGUGAGUAACACGUGAGUAACCUGCCCUUGACUUUGGGAUAACUUCAGGAAACUGGGGCUAAUACCGGAUAGGAGCUCCUGCUGCAUGGUGGGGGUUGGAAAGUUUCGGCGGUUGGGGAUGGACUCGCGGCUUAUCAGCUUGUUGGUGGGGUAGUGGCUUACCAAGGCCUUGACGGGUAGCCGGCCUGAGAGGGUGACCGGCCACAUUGGGACUGAGAUACGGCCCAGACUCCUACGGGAGGCAGCAGUGGGGAAUAUUGCACAAUGGGCGGAAGCCUGAUGCAGCAACGCCGCGUGCGGGAUGACGGCCUUCGGGUUGUAAACCGCUUUCGCCUGUGACGAAGCGUGAGUGACGGUAAUGGGUAAAGAAGCACCGGCUGACUACGUG